rnacentral:rRNA from 1 species
ACAUACCUUAAUGUUGCCUCGGCGGAUCAGCCCGCGCCCCGUAAAACGGGACGGCCCGCCAGAGGACCCAAACUCUAAUGUUUCUUAUUGUAACUUCUGAGUAAAACAAACAAAUAAAUCAAAACUUUCAACAACGGAUCUCUUGGUUCUGGCAUCGAUGAAGAACGCAGCGAAAUGCGAUAAGUAAUGUGAAUUGCAGAAUUCAGUGAAUCAUCGAAUCUUUGAACGCACAUUGCGCCCCCUGGUAUUCCGGGGGGCAUGCCUGUUCGAGCGUCAUUUCACCACUCAAGCCUCGCUUGGUAUUGGGCAACGCGGUCCGCCGCGUGCCUCAAAUCGUCCGGCUGGGUCUUCUGUCCCCUAAGCGUUGUGGAAACUAUUCGCUAAAGGGUGUUCGGGAGGCUACGCCGUAAAACAACCCCAUUUCUAAGGUUGACCUCGGAUCAGGUAGGGAUACCCGCUGAACUUAAGCAUAUC